rnacentral:rRNA from 1 species
UGGAUAACCUACCUAGAAGUUGGGGAUAACACAGAGAAAUUUGUGCUAAUACCGAAUGUGACGGUUCCUGGUAGCAGGGAUUGGUUAAAGCAGCAAUGCGCUUUUAGAUGGGUCCAUGGCUGAUUAGCUAGUUGGUGGGGUAAAGGCCUACCAAGGCGACGAUCAGUAGCCGGCCUGAGAGGGUGAACGGCCACAAUGGAACUGAGACACGGUCCAUACUCCUACGGGAGGCAGCAGUUAAGA